GCACCUGAAUCUUUCCUGUUCCUUGCUGUGCAGUGCAGAUCUGGGGACUAGUUGGUGCUACAGCACAGCAGUGGAAAUCCAGAUGGUUUGCUUUCCACUGGUUUGGAAUUAAUCUCUACACCUCUGCAACAUUU
rnacentral:snoRNA from 1 species